rnacentral:lncRNA from 1 species
CUUUUUGAUUCAGUCAACUAUAAAAAUUCAUGUCCUCAGUUUCAAUUGUUUAAAUUGUAAGACAUACGUUACACAAAAUCAAAAGGGAACAUGCUAAAGGAUACCAAUGGUAUUUCUCUUGUUAUGGGGACUGGAGGCAAAUAUUAUAAAAUCAUUUUAAAUGGAUAUGCUCCUUAAAUUAUUUGCGCUGUCAGUGUAUUUAUGUUUGUUUUUAAUCCGCGAGUCUUAUUUAGUGGCGAUGAAAAACAUAUCACCAUUUUUUUUAUGCUUAUAAUCCGUUAAUUCUUAAUUUGACAGUCAUUUUCCUAGAAAGUUAUACUGAAAAAUAUGACAAUAGAGGAUACCAAUUUCUAAAAAAAGAUAUUUUUCAUUGAGAACAAGCUAUAUUUUCAUCCCUCGAAUUGAAAAAUUCUCCAAAAUUUUCCCAAAAAAACCUCAUUCUCUACGCCGAAAGUUCGAGAGAUGAACAAGCGCUAUUCGAAUGAUUAUUAUUUUUUUACUGACAAUGGAUUUUAUCUGAUAUCAUGCAAUUGCCAACGUGUGACCAAUUGUGUCAUAGGAAGUAACUACCUUGCAGAUUUGAAAUCGCUUACACGGUAUUUUAACUCCGAUUAUUAUAAAGUUACAGGCCAUAUAAACUUAUUUCAUUAUAGUUUUUACAGCAAUGUAAUGUGU